AGUAAAAUGGCUGAGAUUAGGCGAUAAAUUGUAAAUUUAUUUAGAAGAAGUUUUCUUUUUUACUA
rnacentral:tRNA from 1 species